UACGUAGGCAGCGAGCGUUGUUCGGAGUUACUGGGCGUAAAGGGUGUGUAGGCGGUUGUUUAAGUUUGGUGUGAAAUCUCCCGGCUCAACUGGGAGGGUGCGCCGAAUACUGAAUGACUAGAGUGCGGGAGAGGAAAGUGGAAUUCCUGGUGGUAGCGGUGAAAUGCGUAGAUAUCAGGAGGAACACCGGUGGUGUAGACGGCUUUCUGGACCGUAACUGACGCUGAGACACGAAAGCGUGGGGUAGCAAACAGG
rnacentral:rRNA from 1 species